rnacentral:ncRNA from 1 species
AAGCUGGUCUAAAGUCAAAGAAGAAUUGGAUAAGUGUGUGUUACUCUGUGCCAAUUACCACCGAGAAGUUCAUGCUCAAAGCGCAGCUUCCGUGGGAAACCGCGGUUGAAACAGCGGGCUAAUUCAGGGAAAUCCUCACAGGGAUAAUCCUGAGCGAAGUCCUGAGUGAGGCCGUAAGGCUGAAUUCAAGGAAACGUGCAGAGACUAUACACCCGCCUCCUAAAGUAAACGCUAAGGAGAAGAGAUAGUCCAAGUCCGAAAGCAAUUUCGGG